GACGAACGCUGGCGGCGUGCCUAAUACAUGCAAGUAGAACGCACAGUUUAUACCGUAGCUUGCUACACCAUAGACUGUGAGUUGCGAACGGGUGAGUAACGCGUAGGUAACCUGCCUGGUAGCGGGGGAUAACUAUUGGAAACGAUAGCUAAUACCGCAUAAUAUUGAUUAUUGCAUGAUAAUUGAUUGAAAGAUGCUAUUGCAUCACUACCAGAUGGACCUGCGUUGUAUUAGCUAGUAGGUGAGGUAACGGCUCACCUAGGCGACGAUACAUAGCCGACCGCAUAGGGUGCACGGCCACACUGGGACUGUGACGCGUCCCAGGCUCCUUGGGGUGGCAGCAGGAGGGAAUCUUCGGCGAUGGACGCAAGUCUGACCAAGCAACGCCGCGAGAGUGAAGAAGGUUUUCGUAUCGUGAAGCUCGGUUUUAAGUGGAGAACGGGUGUGAGAGUGGAAAGUUCACAGUGUGACGUUAUCUUACCAGAAAGGGACGGCUAACUACGUG
rnacentral:rRNA from 1 species